UUUUUUCAGAAUUUGAUUUGACACCAAAUAGAUAUCCUGCUUAUAAAAAUAUCGAAACUCGCGAAAAAUCUUUUGGAGACUGCAAAAUUAGCAGCAUAAAAGACAGAGCCUUGGACUUUGCAAAAGAUGGAUUUUAUUACGAAGGUUAUGGUGGGGUAACAACAUGUUUCCACUGUGGAACUCAGAAAGAUGAUUGGAAAGAAGGAGCAGAUAUACAUGUGGAGCAUUUGACAUUAAAUCAAGAUUGUGAAUUCGUUAAAUACGUACAGUUACAUACUUUGAAGACAAAAUAGAAAUAUAUAACUGGUAGCUAUUAUAUCAGUUUAAUUACACCAGUGUUGUUCAAACCUAAUUUAAUUCAACAGAGCAUAAUAGUAUUUAGAAUUUAGCUUACCACUUGGACAGUGCUUCAUCUGAGUGGAAAAUGAGUGGAAAAUGAGUUUUAUCUGCCUUUGUCAGUUAUAUUGUUCUGUGUAUAGUUAAAACAUGUGCUUUGAACACUUUUUAAAAUAUUUUAGGGUAUUUUUUAAAUGUUUGCAAUGGGGAAAGUGUACAGUUUUUGCUGAUGUUUCAUUAUAAGUGCGCAAACUCUUAACUCAGGUUUAUGAUUUAAGAAGUCUUUGGUCAAAUGCAGAUUAUUUUUUUUUUCUUAUUUCCUCAUACAAGUAAUAAUAUUUUCACUUUUGUAUAGUCAGAUACAGCUGUAUGAGCUGUAUGUUUUUGAAAGUUUUUCUUUAGGUAUAUAGAAGAUGACAUCUCAGGUAUAAAGGAUUUGUUUAUUAUUUUUAUUCUAAAAUUAUUAGUAUA